UACGUAGGAGGCAAGCGUUGUCCGGAUUUACUGGGCGUAAAGAGCGUGUAGGCGGUUGGGCCAGUCUGUUGUGAAAGCGCUCGGCUUAACCGAGCGAGGUCAAUGGAAACUGCCCGACUUGAGGACGGUAGAGGGGGGUGGAAUUCCCGGUGGAGUGGUGAAAUGCGUAGAUAUCGGGAGGAACAGCAGAGGCGAAGGCGGCCCCCUGGGCCGCUCCUGACGCUGAGACGCGAAGGCCAGGGUAGCGAACGGG
rnacentral:rRNA from 1 species